rnacentral:rRNA from 1 species
GACGAACGUUGGCGGUGCGCUUAAUGCAUGCAAGUCGAACGAGAACUGGUUCAUUCGUAAGAAUGUUCCAGGGACAGUGGCGAGCGGGUGCGUAACACGUGAGAAACCUGCCCUGGAGAUCGGGAUAGCCCGAGGAAACUCGGAUUAAUACCGAAUGCCUUCACCGAGUCGCAUGGCUCUAUGAAGAAAUGGUCCGCCGCUCCAGGAUGGUCUCGCGGCCUAUCAGCUUGUUGGUGAGGUAACGGCUCACCAAGGCAACGACGGGUAACUGGUCUGAGAGGACGAUCAGCCACACUGGGACUGAGACACGGCCCAGACUCCUACGGGAGGCAGCAGCAGGGAAUAUUGCACAAUGGGCGAAAGCCUGAUGCAGCGACACCGCGUGCGGGAUGAAGGCCUUCGGGUUGUAAACCGCUUUCAGGAGGGACGAAAAUGACGGUACCUCCAGAAGAAGGCCCGGCCAACUAUGUG